UUUAUCCAGUAAGAAGCAGUUCUGUACGCCCAUAGUACUGUCAUAAAGCUUUCCUCUGGAAGCCAUUCCCAUUUGACCUCAAUAAGCCUAUGGAAAGCAGUUUCUUCAAUAUAUCCUUGAAGGCUAACACCAGGAACUAAUUUUGGUAAUAAAUAUCUUAAAUGGUAACUAUUUCCCAGCCUUGCUUCCUGCAGAAGAUUUCAGUGAGAAAUGGUUACAGAAUCAAGUACAUCCUCUGUUCUUAUGAGUACCAACACCCAUUUUACCCUGUAUGCAAAUCACAGCCUCUGUUCAAUGUGGUAAAGUGUUCUUCACUCUCUUCAGUCACACUUGCUUCUCUAAAGAAAUUUUUAUAAAUCUUUUCUAUUUUAGUCACAUGCUUAUAGUUUGUUCAGAAUUCAGUGGUGCUCAUGUCAUAGUACACAAAAUAUUGUGUGAAAGUUCUCUGCAAUACAGUCUGUUCCUUUUAAAGUAUCUGCCAUAAUGUUUCAUUAUAGAUGCUGUCAAAACUAAAUUAGACAAUAUACUGUUUGAUAAAACAUCUUAUUUCAAAAUAUACCAAGAAUAUGCAGCUAAAGCCAAUAUAAAUGUGUCUUGAGGAAGCAGCAUUUUCCCCUCGUGAUAAGAAGGAGAAAAUGUUUUGAUAUAUUUCUGGCAAUGAAUUCUGAAAUCCAGGCCAUGAGUGCUAAAGAGCUUGUCAGUUUGGGAGCUAAUCCAUAUGCCAAGGAUACAUUAAACAAACAUGUAGCUACUUAUUUCAGAGAAUGACCAGAUAUGAAUAAAACUUUCACAAGGAAAUCAAGCCCAACUACUGGUAAGUGUAAGGUGGAAUAUUAAAUCGCUUUUGACAAGGUAGAAAAGCAGACAGGGUCAUAAUGUAACUGUAGUAUAAUAUACAUGAUUAACUUACUGCGGACCCAUUCCCUGGCAGCAGGAUUUUACACAUGCUGUAUGGUAGAAAUAAAUAAUCACUGAGAGAAAACAUGUAACUCAAAGUGCAGAGGCAUGCAUAAAUAAUAAUUUUUUAAAAAGUCCAGGAAAAGUGAACAAGCAGUUAUUUCAUUUUCUAAUCACAGGCCUUGGCAGUGGGCUCUACAACAGAGUAUUUUCUUUCCACUUAAAGCCAUAGCCUAUCUUCUCUGUUGGAAAAGAAGUAGAGGAGCUCAACUAUCUCGAAAUAUACUGUUCAACAACAACUUUUUUUUCCUCUGCAUGAUGAUAUAUUUAUUUGAUCCUUUACUAGAAUGAUAGGUACAGCUCUCCUUCCUAAAUUCUUAGAUCAGACUGAAUUCUUCACUUCUACCUGUGGAUGAUACAGUCUUUUAACAUAUCUGAAGCUCAGAUGAUCAAAGGGUGAGGGGAAAGUAAGUUUUUCCAGUAGUUGCUUUCAGUUUUCUCAUGCAUAGCUAAAUCAGUGCAUUGAGAAGUAAUACUCUAUAGGGAUGGAUGCAGAAUUAGCCCCUGCAGUCUCACCAGAGCUUAAUGGGUGAUCUGAUGCUAACAGCAUCAGUUUCUGCCAUCUGUUCAUAAGGGCACCGCUGCCUGUUCAGUGAGCCCCUUCCUUAGUCAUGCUAGAAGGAAUUUGGAUGACUAAAACUGAAGUCUGAAUACCCCCAUCCAGCAAAACCAUCAGAGUAGUAAAUAACUGAAGAUACGGGGGAAAAAAAAAGCAAAAAUUAGAGAAAAACAAAUUAUUUAAAUAAAUACAGGUCUAGUUGCAUUUUCUCAGCUCUUUAGAUUUAAAGAGCUACAUGCCAAGUACUGUGAUAAAGAAACUGUAUUUACUCAUUACAAACAAGUUUUCCAAUAAACUUACCCUUUUUUGUAUAAAACCCAUUCUGCUUCCACAAACAUGUUGUUUUAUUACAUAAGUAGUCCAAGCAAUAGCUUUGUUUAUAUAAAUAGUUUGAAGAAGUAUAUUACAACUUGUAGUACAUUUUUAACUGUGUUUCAUGUCUUGUUCUAAUUUGUCAUAUGUGUUUUGUUGUUAUUAGGCCUGAUGCCUAUUAAAAUGUGGGAAAAUAAAUACCAAGCAAUAUGGAAGAACUAGUGAUAAAACUAAGAAAAGUACAAGUUUAUGCUUGUAUAAGAGUGCACUUACUUAUAUAAAAACCUAUUCAGGGGAAAAAAAGUGUAUAAAACUGAAAACAUAGUUGUUUAAAUAUUUAUUUUGAAAGCAUAAUAUGGUUGAGAAAAAGUUCUUCUAAAUUCAGUGAAAUACUUGUACUCACUGUUGCAGUAUUUGCCCAGGUACAAUUUUGUAGAAAUGCAUUUCAGGAGACUCCUGCAGGGUAUUAGACACAGACAUAAAGCAAAGAUAAGGAUUAAAGCUAAUCAAAAGCUAAGCAUAACAAAAAUCAGGAAUAUUUAGACAGAUUUUUAAUUAUCUAUCUGUUUAAACAUGAAUUCCCUGAAGAACAGUCAGCAGUAAAGACGUCUCUGAGAAAUGUGUCUAUAGGAAGAAAAGGCUUUUUACUCUAAAAGUGUUUAUUUGGAUGUUCUAAUUAGCCAUUUAAGCAUACUUUAGUUUGAAAACAGACACAAAUUAUAUUGUUAUCAAUGAGAACAUGCCUUUUAAACAGUGACCGUCAUUGUUUCCAUUUACUCUUUUCUAAUUAAAGUCUGGGGAAACAUCUAUUGUAGACCUGCUGCUGGCCAAAGCUGAGACCAUCAGCAAUAGUGGCAGAGCCUUGCAGGGAAAACAUCCAUGAGAAAGGAUAAGAAAAACAUUGCGCAUCAGUUGUGGAGAGAAGUGUGAGAAAAAUGCAAGAGAAAUAACUGCAGGCUCCCAAGUCAGUGAAGAGGAAGAGGAUGAAGCACUCCAGGCACCAGAGUAGACAUUCCCCUGUAGCCUGUGGAGGAACCCACACCAGAGCAUGUGGACCUGCCCUCAUGGAAGCUGCAGAUUAUGGAGAGACCAUGUAGGAGCAGGCUCUUGGCAAGAGCUGUAGUCUGUGGAGAGGAGACCAUAUGGAGAAGGUUUUCUGAUGGGGAAUCUGGGCAUAUGGACCUAUGCUAGAGCAGUUCAUGAAGAACUGAGCCACAUGGGAAGAACAUACGAUGAUGCAGUUUGUGAAGGACUGUAUCCAGUAGGAAGGAGUCCAUGCUGGAGCAGGGGGAGAGUGUAAGGAGGAAGAAGCAGCACAGACAAAAAGUUAUGAACUGACCACAUCUCCCAGUCCCCAUAUUCCCUCUACUGCUAGUAGAGUGGGGAGGAGGUACAAGAUUUUGGAACAAAGGAGUGAAGUUGAGCCCAGGAAGAAAGCAUAGGAUAAUGGGAAAGUGCUUUUAGUUUUGUCUUUGUUUCUCUCUAUCCUACUUUAUUAUAUUUUUUUUUAAUUAGGAUUAAACUAAAUUAAUAUUCUGCUAGUCAAAUCUGGUCUGCCUCUGAUAGUGAUUGGUGAGUAACCUCCCUGUCCAUAUCUCAAACCACAUGCUUCUCCAUCCUAUUUUCAGCCACUGGCUUGCUGAGGGAGGGAGAGAGCACUUGGAUGGGCAUCUGACAGUCAGCCAAGGUCAGCCCACCACAGAAUUCAUAAUUUUGUCACAUCAGAUGAUUCCUUUCUCUCUCUUCCCAGCUCUGUUGUAUUAUCUGGCACAUGGUGUGGGUGGGUGGUAUUGAUUUUCUUCAUGUGCUAAUCCAAACUCUGACAGAGUCCUUUGAAGCUGAUGUGUCUUCCAUGUUAUGAUCCUAAGCCACUGAGGCUGUAUGGUUUGACAUGGGGAAAGAUUCACAUAAACUCUUCCAAAUUGAAAGUUUAUUUCUCAUUAGCGAGCAAGAUUUUUUUCAAGAUUGAGUUCCAUGUUUAAUAUUUACAUCCAGCUAAUGCAGAUUUAUCUGCAAAUAAUCACCCAAGACAUUGCACAUUCAUUUUCAGAGGGGUAUCAGUGAACUGCUAAUGUAGAUUUUCUGCAUAUAAAGUUGCAGAUUUUGCAGCUACCAGAGUUCACAUUUUAAAAUGUGGCCCUAUAAUGUAAAUUAUACAGUGUUAGCAUAUGCUUAAAUUUCAAAGCAAAAUUAUAUAUGUAAUAGCUAAGAUUCUAGAAAAUGACACAAGAUACGACAGUAUUUAAAAUAUAUGAGAAAGCACUGUUAAUAACAUAAAAGUUAACUCACAGUUUAGAGAAAAAUCCUGAUACAUCUUGUACGCAUGUAGGAUGGCAGACUGGAAUUUGCA